rnacentral:rRNA from 1 species
CCUACGGGAGGCUGUAGUGGGGAAUAUUGGACAAUGGGGGGAACCCUGAUCCAGCCAUGCCGCGUGUGUGAAGAAGGCCCUCGGGUUGUAAAGCACUUUCAGUGAGGAAGAACGCCUGGUGGUUAAUACCCAUCAGGAAAGACAUCACUCACAGAAGAAGCACCGGCUAACUCCGUGCCAGCAGCCGCGGUAAUACGGAGGGUGCGAGCGUUAAUCGGAAUUACUGGGCGUAAAGCGCGCGUAGGUGGCUUGAUAAGCCGGUUGUGAAAGCCCCGGGCUCAACCUGGGAACGGCAUCCGGAACUGUCAAGCUAGAGUGCAGGAGAGGAAGGUAGAAUUCCCGGUGUAGCGGUGAAAUGCGUAGAGAUCGGGAGGAAUACCAGUGGCGAAGGCGGCCUUCUGGACUGACACUGACACUGAGGUGCGAAAGCGUGGGUAGCAAACAGGAUUAGAUACCCCGGUAGUC